rnacentral:rRNA from 1 species
UAGGCAUGCAAGUCGAACGAGUAAAGCCCCCUUCGGGGGGUGAGUAAAGUGGCGAAAGGGUGAGUAAUGCGUAGAUAACCUACCCUCGAGCCCGGGAUAACAGUCCGAAAGGGCUGCUAAUACCGGAUGGUGCGCGGGCGGCCUCGGCCGCUCGAGCUAAAGGUGGGGACCUUCGGGCCUGCCGAUCGAGGAGGGGUCUACGUCCUAUUAGCUUGUUGGUGGGGUAACGGCCCACCAAGGUGACGAUGGGUAGCCGGCCUGAGAGGGUGUCCGGCCACACUGGGACUGANACACUGCCCAGACUCCUACGGGAGGCUGCAGUCGAGAAUCUUCCGCAAUGGGCGAAAGCCUGACGGAGCGACGCCGCGUGGACGAUGAAGGCCUUCGGGUUGUAAAGUCCUUUCGCGCAAGAGGAA